UUAAAUUGAAGAGUUUGAUCAUGGCUCAGAUUGAACGCUGGCGGCAGGCCUAACACAUGCAAGUCGAACGGUAACAGGAAGAAGCUUGCUUCUUUGCUGACGAGUGGCGGACGGGUGAGUAAUGUCUGGGAAACUGCCUGAUGGAGGGGGAUAACUACUGGAAACGGUAGCUAAUACCGCAUAACGUCGCAAGACCAAAGAGGGGGACCUUCGGGCCUCUUGCCAUCGGAUGUGCCCAGAUGGGAUUAGCUAGUAGGUGGGGUAACGGCUCACCUAGGCGACGAUCCCUAGCUGGUCUGAGAGGAUGACCAGCCACACUGGAACUGAGACACGGUCCAGACUCCUACGGGAGGCAGCAGUGGGGAAUAUUGCACAAUGGGCGCAAGCCUGAUGCAGCCAUGCCGCGUGUAUGAAGAAGGCCUUCGGGUUGUAAAGUACUUUCAGCGGGGAGGAAGGGAGUAAAGU
rnacentral:rRNA from 1 species